GGUGCCUUUAAAAAAAUUUUUUUGGACAGGAGCUUAAGUCAAAUGGGUUGAUCUCCAAGAAGAAAUCAAUGGUAAGUGUAAAAGAUGAUUGCUUUAUUAGAGCAAAAGGUGGUACUGCACUGUGGUUUGUUCUAGAAACAGAGAUGAGUCUGCAGGAGGGGUGAGGAGAGCUGCUCUUCUGCCAACUGUUCAGGGCUUUUUCCCAAGGGCUUUAUGCAUAUUUUGGAUACGGCCAAGUAGUAAGAUGUAAGGAUAUUGCCCUCUCUGCAGCAAGAAGGGUGGCAUUCAAGGAACAAUGAGUGCACCCUUCAGCAGGAUGUGAAACAAGGAAGCUUCAGAGAUUCAGAGAGAGCUUCUGCCACCUAUUGCAGAGCAAGCAAACACCAUGGGAUACAGGGAAGGAAGUGACUGGGAGCCAGAGAUUAAGGAACUGAAGCAAUGAUAAAUCAUGGAGAAUAUGAAUGUGAAGUCAGUGAAUCAAAAGCAGCUGACUACAACAGUGCUAAUGUGUGAAGAGUCAAUUGAGAAGUCAGGACAAGUCAUCAAAGAAUUAGUGAAGUGACUUGCACAUGUUGGUGACAGGGCUGGCAGUAGUUGCCGUGUUGGGUCCAUAUGAUAGCCUGGGUUUAACAAGAUGGACAUCAUUGUGCCAAUAACUUAUUUGUUCUGGUCACUGAACAAAACACAAAUACAUGCAGCACUGUGAAAUGAGUAAUAUUUCAUUCUAGAAAACAGAAGCAACAUUCAUGAACAACUAAAUUUCAUUAGAAUUGACAACCACAGUGAUGGGCAGAUGGUGUCACACCUUGCUGCCUUGUCUGGAUCAAACACUUUGUGUGACUGAUAAUGGGAAAAUCUCUCUUGGAAAAUUUCUCUCUCCCUUCCAGGUUAACACUACCUGCCCUUUUUAGUGUCCCAAUAUUACAGAGCAGCAGAGGCAUCUUUGAAUUUAUUUUUAAAUAUCAAGGAAAAAGUAUUUACUAAUGCCCAGUAAAUAUGCAAAUAUGUAAGGGUGGCAUCUUGACAGAUCCAUCAUAAGGGACUUGUCCUGUGGGGUGAUACAACCUGCUUGUUUGAGCAUUUGGACAGCAAAAUCUGAGUUUGAGCAUCUUUAAAUAGAAAGAGAUUUGAAAUCUUGUGGUUUUUGGUCCAUGAAAAUGACACAUAACUACCCAAAUAAAAAUAAUGCCUUUAAUUUUUUUGAUUCUAGAAAUAUUUUCAGCCUAACUUCAUUCAGUUUUUCAACCAACUGAUAUGAGGUUUGUGGUAAAGUCAACCAUCAGAAAUGAAAGAAAGGCUGCUCAUCAGUGUUAUGCUUCAAUAUGAAGUUCUUGCUUACAGCAGAGCAGUGAUGGUUUUCAAAUAGACAGCUUAGCUUCAAAGAUACACUUAAUGAGCAAGAGGGAACAACUGUUUUGACUAUAGAGGGAAUGACUAUAGACUGAAAAUUAAGGUGAAACACAUAUUUUUUGUCUGCAGUACAUAGCAGCACCACCACUAAAUGCAUGGCAUUAGUAACAUAAAUUGCAUCCCAUUUUAUUCCAUAUUGUGACAGUACAUGCCCAAAGGAAACACAGAAGGAGAAAAUCUACAGACUGAAACAGGGAGGACAGGGGGCAAAUUGUGGAAAUACUUCAUGCCUAGAAUGUUGCUGAGAUACAGAUAACAGUACUGUAGUCUCAAAUAGUCUGGAUCUGCUAUAGGAAAGUCAGUGAAAUCACUUGUGUAACAGAAUGGCUGUUAAAUUUCAAAAUAUUUGUCAGCUUCUGCCAUCUGAUGAUCAUCUUGACUCUAGAGAAAGCUCCAUUCCUCCCUCCAAAGAAAACCACCAAAAAACAAGAGAAGCUAUAUCUGUUCAGCUCAGCAAGUCUUCUAAAGGUGUCUCUGUCUAGUUCUCGGAGUUAUCUGAAAUAGUGCCAUCUCAAUAUCUGCUUUAAAGAUGGGAAUGGAGAUAUUGGCAAUAAAAAGGAACACAGUGCAAAUUUGACAAGUAAACGUGUAUUUUGGACAAUUCCUGAGUGACAGGCAAUGAAUGUGCAUAACAGUGGAGCAGAAGUGGAUGGAACUUCAUUUGUGUAUGAUGAUCAUCUGUCUCUCAGUAAGCUGUGGCAUCAAGUUGUGAAUGUAAUGUGUGUGACUGAAGCCCAGUUUCUACCAUAAAAUGAGCCAAUGGAACAGUUGAAGUACUGGCAUUUCUUGCUGCUGUUCUGCUCUCUU